UACGAAGGGGGCUAGCGUUGUUCGGAAUCACUGGGCGUAAAGCGUACGUAGGCGGACCGUUAAGUCGGGGGUGAAAUCCUGGAGCUCAACUCCAGAACUGCCUCCGAUACUGGCGGUCUUUGAGUCCGGGAGAGGUGAGUGGAACUCCUAGUGUAGAGGUGAAAUUCGUAGAUAUUAGGAAGAACACCAGUGGCGAAGGCGGCUCACUGGCCCGGUACUGACGCUGAGGUACGAAAGCGUGGGGAGCAAACAGG
rnacentral:rRNA from 1 species